CCAAUAUGUCUUUUGGCUAUCAACAAGCAACAAAUGACAAUCGAUCAAACAUUGAAAUGAAUGAAAUUCGCACGAAAUGUUAACCACUUGUUGUACGGUACAGCCAAUUUGUAGAUGUUGGAGUGAUGAGCGGAUGCAUCAUAUUCAUCCAGAAGGACCUGCACAUCAGUGGAGCGCAUCAAGAAGUGCUCGUCGAGUGCUUCAGCUUCAUCUCCCUCCUCGGCAGCCUCGCCACGCCAUCGGCCGGAAAUGGACCAUCAGCCUUGCCGCCGCCGUCUUCCGAUAGCGAGGACAAGGCGCAGGAGGCGAAGAGGAGAGGAGGGAGGGGAGCACCUGACGCCGGCGCCAAUCUAUUCCAUGUCGCCGCCGUAGCCUCCUCUCCCCCUGUCGCUGUUGCAGCCGCCUACAAGGAAGAAACGCCGAGGGGGAGAAAAAUCGUGAGCGGAGGAGGAAGAUGCGGUCUACGCACCGAUGAUUUUUUUGGAGAGUUUACCCUUGCGUGGGCCCUCUUCACGCGCGCCCGUGCACGCUGCUGGGUCGGCUCGGUCAUCCCACCCCGAAUCUGGCUAGAAUAUUCCCUCCUAGGUUCGACCCACUCCUUCCAACUCCCAAACCAAAUAAGGGCAAAACCGGGUUGGCUCCAUCCUAACCCAUGAAAUCCUCC
rnacentral:lncRNA from 1 species